GGGUUGUGAGGUUAAGCGACUAAGCGUACACGGUGGAUGCCCUGGCAGUCAGAGGCGAUGAAGGACGUGCUAAUCUGCGAUAAGCGUCGGUGAGGUGAUAUGAACCGUUAUAACCGGCGAUUUCCGAAUGGGGAAACCCAGUGUGUUUCGACACACUAUCAUUAACUGAAUCCAUAGGUUAAUGAGGCGAACCGGGGGAACUGAAACAUCUAAGUACCCCGAGGAAAAGAAAUCAACCGAGAUUCCCCCAGUAGCGGCGAGCGAACGGGGAGGAGCCCAGAGCCUGAAUCAGUGUGUGUGUUAGUGGAAGCGUCUGGAAAGGCGCGCGAUACAGGGUGACAGCCCCGUACACAAAAAUGCACAUACUGUGAGCUCGAUGAGUAGGGCGGGACACGUGGUAUCCUGUCUGAAUAUGGGGGGACCAUCCUCCAAGGCUAAAUACUCCUGACUGACCGAUAGUGAACCAGUACCGUGAGGGAAAGGCGAAAAGAACCCCGGCGAGGGGAGUGAAAAAAGAACCUGAAACCGUGUACGUACAAGCAGUGGGAGCCUCUUAAUGGGGUGACUGCGUACCUUUUGUAUAAUGGGUCAGCGACUUAUAUUCUGUAGCAAGGUUAACCGAAUAGGGGAGCCGAAGGGAAACCGAGUCUUAACUGGGCGUUAAGUUGCAGGGUAUAGACCCGAAACCCGGUGAUCUAGCCAUGGGCAGGUUGAAGGUUGGGUAACACUAACUGGAGGACCGAACCGACUAAUGUUGAAAAAUUAGCGGAUGACUUGUGGCUGGGGGUGAAAGGCCAAUCAAACCGGGAGAUAGCUGGUUCUCCCCGAAAGCUAUUUAGGUAGCGCCUCGUGAAUUCAUCUCCGGGGGUAGAGCACUGUUUCGGCAAGGGGGUCAUCCCGACUUACCAACCCGAUGCAAACUGCGAAUACCGGAGAAUGUUAUCACGGGAGACACACGGCGGGUGCUAACGUCCGUCGUGAAGAGGGAAACAACCCAGACCGCCAGCUAAGGUCCCAAAGUCAUGGUUAAGUGGGAAACGAUGUGGGAAGGCCCAGACAGCCAGGAUGUUGGCUUAGAAGCAGCCAUCAUUUAAAGAAAGCGUAAUAGCUCACUGGUCGAGUCGGCCUGCGCGGAAGAUGUAACGGGGCUAAACCAUGCACCGAAGCUGCGGCAGCGACGCUUAUGCGUUGUUGGGUAGGGGAGCGUUCUGUAAGCCUGUGAAGGUGGCCUGUGAGGGUUGCUGGAGGUAUCAGAAGUGCGAAUGCUGACAUAAGUAACGAUAAAGCGGGUGAAAAGCCCGCUCGCCGGAAGACCAAGGGUUCCUGUCCAACGUUAAUCGGGGCAGGGUGAGUCGACUCCUAAGGCGAGGCCGAAAGGCGUAGUCGAUGGGAAACAGGUUAAUAUUCCUGUACUUGGUGUUACUGCGAAGGGGGGGACGGAGAAGGCUAUGUUGGCCGGGCGACGGUUGUCCCGGUUUAAGCGUGUAGGCUGGUUUUCCAGGCAAAUCCGGAAAACCAAGGCUGAGGCGUGAUGACGAGGCACUACGGUGCUGAAGUGACAAAUGCCCUGCUUCCAGGAAAAGCCUCUAAGCAUCAGGUAACAUCAAAUCGUACCCCAAACCGACACAGGUGGUCAGGUAGAGAAUACCAAGGCGCUUGAGAGAACUCGGGUGAAGGAACUAGGCAAAAUGGUGCCGUAACUUCGGGAGAAGGCACGCUGAUAUGUAGGUGAAGCGACUUGCUCGUGGAGCUGAAAUCAGUCGAAGAUACCAGCUGGCUGCAACUGUUUAUUAAAAACACAGCACUGUGCAAACACGAAAGUGGACGUAUACGGUGUGACGCCUGCCCGGUGCCGGAAGGUUAAUUGAUGGGGUUAGCGGUAACGCGAAGCUCUUGAUCGAAGCCCCGGUAAACGGCGGCCGUAACUAUAACGGUCCUAAGGUAGCGAAAUUCCUUGUCGGGUAAGUUCCGACCUGCACGAAUGGCGUAAUGAUGGCCAGGCUGUCUCCACCCGAGACUCAGUGAAAUUGAACUCGCUGUGAAGAUGCAGUGUACCCGCGGCAAGACGGAAAGACCCCGUGAACCUUUACUAUAGCUUGACACUGAACAUUGAGCCUUGAUGUGUAGGAUAGGUGGGAGGCUUUGAAGUGUGGACGCCAGUCUGCAUGGAGCCGACCUUGAAAUACCACCCUUUAAUGUUUGAUGUUCUAACGUUGGCCCGUAAUCCGGGUUGCGGACAGUGUCUGGUGGGUAGUUUGACUGGGGCGGUCUCCUCCUAAAGAGUAACGGAGGAGCACGAAGGUUGGCUAAUCCUGGUCGGACAUCAGGAGGUUAGUGCAAUGGCAUAAGCCAGCUUGACUGCGAGCGUGACGGCGCGAGCAGGUGCGAAAGCAGGUCAUAGUGAUCCGGUGGUUCUGAAUGGAAGGGCCAUCGCUCAACGGAUAAAAGGUACUCCGGGGAUAACAGGCUGAUACCGCCCAAGAGUUCAUAUCGACGGCGGUGUUUGGCACCUCGAUGUCGGCUCAUCACAUCUGGGGCUGAAGUAGGUCCCAAGGGUAUGGCUGUUCGCCAUUUAAAGUGGUACGCGAGCUGGGUUUAGAACGUCGUGAGACAGUUCGGUCCCUAUCUGCCGUGGGCGCUGGAGAACUGAGGGGGGCUGCUCCUAGUACGAGAGGACCGGAGUGGACGCAUCACUGGUGUUCGGGUUGUCAUGCCAAUGGCACUGCCCGGUAGCUAAAUGCGGAAGAGAUAAGUGCUGAAAGCAUCUAAGCACGAAACUUGCCCCGAGAUGAGUUCUCCCUGAGACUUAGAGUCUCCUGAAGGAACGUUGAAGACGACGACGUUGAUAGGCCGGGUGUGUAAGCGCAGCGAUGCGUUGAGCUAACCGGUACUAAUGAACCGUGAGGCUUAACCUUACAACGCCGAAG
rnacentral:rRNA from 1 species